CUGGCGAGAAAGUCUGCUCCUUGGAACUCCGUGGAAACGACUCAAUGUGCGUCUACAUAGUUACUAUGGAAAUUGUGGAAAGCUGCAACGGGAGAUGCCCGACACCGUGUGACGACACAGUGUACUCCCUGGUCACAUCCAUGUCACAGUGGCCAUCGGAAAACUACGAGGAUUAUCUGGAUUCCAAGAUAUCUAAAACGUCGAGCUAUUUCAUGGACAAAGAAAAACG